rnacentral:tRNA from 1 species
CAAAAGAUAAGCUAAAUAAGCUAGUGGGCUCAUACCCCACCUAUGAGAGCUCCAAUCUCUCUCUUUUAA